rnacentral:rRNA from 1 species
UACGGAGGUGGCAAGCGUUGUUCGGAAUUACUGGGCGUAAAGGGCGCGUAGGCGGCAUGGCAAGUCGGAUGUGAAAUCCCCGGGCUUAACCUGGGAAUUGCAUCCGAAACUGCUUUGCUUGAGUCCUGGAUGGGGUAGUGGAAUUCCCAGUGUAGCGGUGAAAUGCGUAGAUAUUGGGAGGAACACCGGUGGCGAAGGCGGCUACCUGGACAGUGACUGACGCUGAGGCGCGAAAGCUAGGGGAGCGAAC